rnacentral:lncRNA from 1 species
CUCCAGAGUUUCCCAGAACCACUAAUUAUUCCAGUUUUAUACUUGACCAACCUUACCCAUCGUUCACGCUUACAUGAAAUUUGCGAUGAUAUCUUUGCAUAUAUCAAGGACCGAUAUUUUGUUGAAGAAACUGUGGAAGUCAUUAGGAACAACGGUACAAGGCUGCAGUGUAGAAUCUUGGAAGUCCUCCCUCCAUUACAUCAAAAUGGUUUUGCUAAUGGACACAUGAGCAGUGUUGACGGAGAGACUAUUGUCAUCAGUGACAGUGACGACUCAGAAACACAAAGCAGUUCUUUUCAACAUGGG